AGAUCUCAACAUCAAAGAUCUCCCUUGAUUGAUAUGGCCGAAUCUCAACCAUAACCACCAACCCAGGUUACAAUUGAUAACGUGGCUGAGGUAUUAGAUAACCCUGCAAAAAAUUUAUUACCGAAACUGGAUCCGCUAAAAAAUCCAGUGACAAAAUGGUUUGGUGUUGAUGUUGAGAUAACGACCAAUUUAUCAAAAUUCAUCAAACAAAAUUUCAAAGAUGGUUAUCUUAAUUGGAGUACGAUCUCACAAUCUACCAAAGAUUCGUGGUGGUUAAGUUUUGUGGUGGAAGGAGGCUGUAAUUAGAUUAGUGAAAGCCAGUGUUCAUAAAGUCAAACAAAAAUGGCUUUCUGAACCCUAUAUGGAUCCUCCGUAUUGGGCGAAAAAAAAUCAUUUGGAUCGAAUGGUGGAGCAUUGGACUUCCCUAGCCACCAAAGAGAAAAGUCAGCGAGCGUCCCAGAGUUGAAAAUCUGAAAUGAUUCCUAAUGCCGGAGGGCAUGUCCAUACAUCGAGAGCUAAGCCUUUUAGUCAUGUUAUGCAUGAAAUGACUAAAAAAAAUCAAGCGCCAACGUUGUUAGAUUUGUUUAAAGCAACACAUACACGAAAAGAUGGUGUGAUGGUUGAUGGAAAAUCGCAACAAAUCGCGGAACAAGUUCAACAUGAGGUUGUUCCACCGAACAAAUUUAGACGAAUAUAAAGUCUCGGUUCAAUGCAAACCGAUAUCACCUAUCAUCCUGGUGAAGAUGCUCCUUCAACUGCUCAGGAAAUACUUUCACUCGCAUGAUGAGUGCGACAAUUAGAAGAGCAGCAAGCUGAACUCCUCCGACAACAAACGGAAUUCUUGCGCGGACAAGAACAAGAUCGGAAAUUGCGAGUGCAAGCAUAAUUUUUCAAUGAGUUCCAAACCCGAGGAUUUCCAAGUUUCGGAAGCGGAGGACAAGGAAGUGGUGGCGGUGGCGACGAUGACGGCGACGGCGACGAAGACAACUACG